UGGAUCCGUGGUUCCUUUGCCCAUGGGCAGCGUCCAAGGAUUCCAAAAUCAAUGAUUUCCUUUUUUUACAAUGGUAGAGGUUUCUGGAGCGCUUAUUGGAAAUGUGGCCAAAAUGAAGCUGAAUUCUGUGGUCUACAAAAUUUGGUACUGAUACGAACAGCUACACCGACAGAAGUUUCACAUUCUGACGAACCGACAUAAAGUGAAGUGUUUAGCGGAAAACGAAUGAAAAUUUAAUUUCCUCUUCUAAAGAGUUGGUCUUCCGACGUUCAGGUAGAAAUCUCGCGAAUUGACUAAGAAUACGUCAUCAGACAACAAUAUGGCGUCCUGAUCAACACAAGCCUGAUAUCACUCAAAAAAACAAGUGUUUUUAGCGAA